GAUCCUCGAGUUUCCCAGGAAAGGCGAUGCGUAAAUUCUCCAUCUGCCUUCCAAAACCUACGAGACUGUAACGCGGAACUCUGUGGGAUAUCAAAGCAGGUCAUUGGACUACACGUAUUUUAUUGCUCUGGCUUCUUUUAACCCUCUUCCAUUUUGAUUUCCUCCAAAAGGAAAACAUGGCUCGAAUGCUGAGCAAGGAGCUGCCGGAUAUCGAGUGUAUCCUGGUCUUGAACCCUUGGGUGCAGACUCACACCUUGCUCCAUUCCACUGCUGCAAAUCAAUUGGAGAAAAUGCACUGGAAAAGAAACCCAGCGAAAGUCUGUGAGGGGUCAGGGGCUUGAGAGGCCGAUUGCCAUGACAACUGCAGUCCAGCCCAGGAGUUGGCCGUGUCACAGCUGAUGAAUCAUGCAGCACAACCCCUGGAAGUGCAUGAACACGGAGAGCAGAAGUGUAACUUUUGGAGUGGAUUUGGAAUGCUUUCAAAAAGUAAUUUGUAUUUUUGAUGAUAAAGAUGCAGGGAUAUUGUAGUUACAAAGUGUUUGUCUUCAGCGCUGUGACAGAUAUUCACCCAAAAUUUGGGUCUGUCCAAUCAAGUCACACUUUCAGCAUAUCCACCUUUUUCCUGGGGGUCUUACUGGGGAAACGAAUGUGGGUGGGACUUCUGCCGGAAGUCGUUCUACAGCAUUCCCUAGCUCUGGCUGCAGUCAUUUUAAUACCCUGUUUACAGCUAGAAAUAAAACAUGCUUUGGAUGAUUCGAUCGCAAAGGUCAGCACAAAAUAUAGUCCAGUAUAGUAAUGUUUUGUGAUUGGAUCACAAAAAACACAUACAGAGGAAGUCAAAAACCACAUUGUAUUUGGGGUUUAAAAUGGCAUCCUGAUGUGUCCCGGACAGCAGCGAAGCACCACCUGUCACCAGUCAAUCACCCGCUGAACAAAUGUUUACAUUUUUGCACAGAUUUAAAAGGAAAUAACUAUCCGAUCGGAAAAGUUGAAAAAAACCCAAGUAUAGAUUUGAACAUGCAGGGUGACAAGUUGACAAGCUUGACAAACAUCUGAAGCUGAACUAACACAGGUACUCCACUAAAACAAACAUUAAUUUUGCUCAAAAUGUUGCGUUUGUGCUUAGAUUAAAUCUCAACUGCAUCUGGGAGAAACAGUGUGCCGGUUUUGUUCGCACUUUCUUUGUCUUCAUGACUUUUUUGAUUUUGGGAUUUCUCCUCAAAAUCCCAAGACCACAAUGAAAGAAUAAAUGGACGAACGCUGCAACAACAGCUGUGGUAACUUGACAAAGGAAGUAACGGCAUAUUUUUCGCUAAGCAUCUUGGGACAUAGGAAAAAGGUGGAUACAUGUUAAAACUUGCCGAAUGGACUAGCACAUCUGACAGUUAUAUACAAAACUACUUCUUUCAAAUACAACCACAAUAUGCACUCAUGGUCACCCAGUGAGCCAGUACUGUCCAAAAAAAGUUUUAUGAAGUUCGUGGCUGAGAACACUGGGGAACAGUCUCACUUAUGAUGUUUGAGUGGAUUGUGUUCAAAGGCUAUGUAACAACCCCAAUCAGUGAAAUGUAUUGCAUACACAAACAACAUCCAAACAAAGAUCUCCUAUGUCAUCUAAUUUCUUUGCCUCUCUCUCUCUCUCUCUCUCUCUCUCUCUCUCUCUCUCUCGCCGAGCUGCAUGAAGCUGGAGAACAAUUUCGAUGGCAUCAAACAUAGGACUCUGAGCGAGUGUGCAGCUCUUCGGGAUGCGGUGAGUUUUCUACAGAUGUUUGAAGUGUGUUGAUGCACCAUGUCAGGAAAUCUGCCUGACAAAUCUGAACAUAAAAGCCUUCAUUACCAGUAUUGCAAACAAGGAUUGACCCCACCGAAACUCACUGAAAUUACCUUCAGGUUGAACUGUGAUGCACCUCAUUGAUCUCUGCCUGCAUCACCUUUGUCUAAUGAUGGACUACACUAUUGAAAUGGAAUACAUAGACUAUUAUUAAAUUGCCAACAAAAGCCUUCAUCAGCCAACUAACAAAGGACAAUUGCAUCUGUGUGAACUUCUGCAGUUAAUCCAGGAUGGACUUCAGAGCCAUUAGUCAUUCAUCUUAAAGUAUUUUUUAUUUUUUUUACCCUGAACUUAAAGCUUACUUAAUUUACACAUUUUAAGCCAUGACUUACACUACAUACAAAUAACUAAUAUUGGCAUUAUAUUCAUGAUAUUAGCCAAAGGGGAACUGGCCCCCACGGUGAGUCUGGUUUCUCCCAAGUGUAUUUAUCUCCAUUAACCAACAUCUUCUGGAGUUUUGUGUUCCUUGCCACCUUCAGCUUGUUCACUGGGGUUCUAAAUACAAUUAUUAUUUAAUUAUUUAAUUUUUACAAUCUUUAAAAUGUACAAUCAUAUUUACAUUUUUGGUAAUGCAUGAUUUCCAGUAAAGCUGCUUUGAAAUGAUGUGUGUUGUGAAAAGUGCUAUACAAAUAAAAAUGA